rnacentral:rRNA from 1 species
ACACUCCUGCGGGAGGCAGCAGUGGGGAAUUUUGGACAAUGGGCGAAAGCCUGAUCCAGCAAUGCCGCGUGCAGGAUGAAGGCCUUCGGGUUGUAAACUGCUUUUGUACGGAACGAAAAAGCUCCUUCUAAUACAGGGGGCCCAUGACGGUACCGUAAGAAUAAGCACCGGCUAACUACGUGCCAGCAGCCGCGGUAAUACGUAGGGUGCGAGCGUUAAUCGGAAUUACUGGGCGUAAAGCGUGCGCAGGCGGUUAUGUAAGACAGAUGUGAAAUCCCCGGGCUCAACCUGGGAACUGCAUUUGUGACUGCAUGGCUAGAGUACGGUAGAGGGGGAUGGAAUUCCGCGUGUAGCAGUGAAAUGCGUAGAUAUGCGGAGGAACACCGAUGGCGAAGGCAAUCCCCUGGACCUGUACUGACGCUCAUACACGAAAGCGUGGGGAGCAAACAGGAUUAGAAACCCGAGUAGUCCCAUGA